GAGAGCACAACCCAUUAGCUCCCAGAUGGACACCUCCAACCCAGCUCUCCCAACCGGAGCAGCGAUGCCGGUGAGCCGCUAACUUCACACCGGCAAAGCUUCACUCUACAUGCCGCCACAGGCUGUGGUGUUUGGGUUUUCUCCCCCAGCCACCCAGAUCCCACUCCCUGUCGGAGCUAUCCGCCUCUGGUAGCGAGGAGGAACGAUAGAACAAUUAAAGUGCCCCUGCGCUUCGGAGCCGGAGGGUUUUGCUGGAUGCUGUACGGAGAAAGCCCAUGUGCCUCCUUAAGGAAGAAAAGAAGCUUUGUGGCAGCCAGGCUCAACUGAAGUGAGAGGAUACUGUACCUUACAGACAGAAGUACAGGGAAAACGAGCGGAUGGGAAGAUGCAGGAAGAGGAGAAAGAGGAGGGGAAAGAAAAACCUGCUGCUGAGAGCUUUUACAACAUGAAGUCAGGCAACUGCAUCCGCAAGCAAAGUGCCAGAGCAGAGCUGAGCCCCUCACUGUGUCCUCCUCCCAUCAUUAGGUGUUUCCAAAGGAAGAAGAUAUGAGCCAAUGGCUUGGACAGCUGUGAAUAAUGCUAUUUGUCUCUAUCACAGCCCAGGCUAAGCAUUGCACUGUCUCAACAUGCAAUGGGAUUCAACUGAGAUUAACUUCACCAUAUCACUGACACAUUCUGCUUUCCAUCUCUGCAGCUGCUGUGGCCUGCUUGCAGUGUUCUCUUGUUCUCCCUGCAGGGAAAACUGGAGAAAUUAGUUGGAUUACAUUGCCUGAUCACUCAGAUAUUGCAUGGAGCCAAGGUUUUGAGUCCACUUUCCUCUGCUGUGUGAUGAUUCUGCAAAGGAAGACGGUGAGACAUGCUGCAUGACAAAAGCCAUGGUUUUGUAACCCAGUCUAAGCAACUCCAGUUUGUUUCUAAGCUCUACAUUCAUUUUCAACUUUGCCCUAAAAGACAUGUUUUGUUGCAAAGCUUUUUAUUUUAUAUGACAUUCAGGGAAUUUAAAGAGACUACAAUUAAACCCAGCUUUUACCAACAACAAACUAUUUCCAACAGCACAUUCAUAUACUCCAGAAAACAUUCCCCAGCUCCAGUCCUCAUCUUUGGCUGCUUAGUUUACUCUGAAAACAGUAUAUUUGUCCUGGUAAACCAUUCCAAGCUCUUCCUUUUCCAUGUAUUUGAGUGGAAACCCCUCAAAAUAACAGCAUCAAAACUCCCAAACACAAAGUGGGCUGAAAAGAACAUUUUAAGACCAUCAGAUUAAUGAGUACAUUUCCUAACAAGAAAAUACUUCUUCUUUUAUUCCUUUCUUUCCCCACAAACCCAAACUUCACAUCCAAACUACCCAGGUUGGUGAGGAAGAAACCAUGGUAACUGCACAUUUUAAUUGGAUGUUUGUUCGCUAGAGAGAAGGGGAAAGAUUGCAUAAUUGGUGCUGGGGAGUCUACACAAACAUGACAUGGUUUGGAGAGCCGAAGCAUUCUGCUAAAGGGGAAUGUGAUAUAGCACAUCUGGCACUGGGGUGUAUCUCCUUUAUGUAACACAAAGUCAGAGGGUGUCAGGAGCUCCAUAUGGCUCCUUCAAAACAGCUCAAUGCCCAUGAGUCAGGCCUGAACCUGGGACCAGACCUGGAAACACAAAAGCAGCAGCUUCUCCCAGGUCCUCCCCUCUUCUCUGAGCCAUGCUCACUUCCCAGAGAGGAGGAACAAUACAGUGGGCAUCCCCAGCACUCAAAACACAGCUACUUGGGAGCUGGAUCUGAGCAUGGUCAACAGACCUCAAAUGUCCUACCUUUGCAAGAUGAACCAACAAGCUGUGGGCUGGCUUAGUGCUCUGCCCUUGCUUCCUCUAAAUUUCUCCUUUUCCCUCUGUUUCCCUCUUUUCAACACACAAGCUUCAGCCCCUGUUUCUCAGAUAUCCCCACUGAACAAUGUGUUAUUGCCCACUUGGCUAAAAUACAGCAUUGACACAUCGCUAUAACACUUCUGCUACAAUUCUUUAGCUUUUUCUACAUCACCUUCUCAUUUGCAGCACCCAUCAAUAAACAGGGCAUUACCUUCAGCUUGGUCUUCACCUCUAAGUUGUGUCUAAACCUUGUAGAUUAAUUCUGCAUAAAAGAUCUUAAAGAUUAUGUCUGCAGUGCUUAUUGGACUGUAAGUGCCAAUGCAGUUACUGAGAGUCUAGUAGCUGACUGUACUACUGCUGGAGUUCUGCACAGACUUCCCAGCCUAAAAGGGCAUCUGCGACUUAUUUAGGCAAUGGGCAGGUGACGUCCAGCAAUAACAGCUCCUCUAGUCUGGAUACUGUGUCUCUUCUUCCCAUAGCAGAUAAUAAACCCACAAGGAUGAAUGAAAGUGCUUCCAAGCAAGGAUCUGAUGACGGAGUAAGCAGAACAGCAAGGGUGGCUUUAGUGCACUGCUCCAAAUAACAUAGUACCAGACUGGUUUGGGUUAAAGGUACCUUAAAGCUCAUCCAGUUCUAACCCCCAGACAUGGGCAGAGACACCUUCCACUAGAGCAGCAACCUGCUCUAGUGGAAGGUGUCCCUGCCCAUGGCAGGGGCUUGGAACUGGAUAGGCUUUAAGAUCCCUUCCAACACAAACCAGUCUGGGAUUCUGUGAUCCUGUCAUUUGGGGAUUGACCUUGUAAGUCCCAGUGCCCAAUGUGAUGCUAUGAUUAAAAAAAGCUGUCAAGGCUGUGUAUGUGAGAGGUCAGCAUUUCUUCUUCCUAAGAUCUCACCUCAAUCUCCCUUCUGUCAGUUUAAAUCCAUUCCCCCUUGUAAAAAUCCCUUUCAGUUACUGCUUCUCAGGCAGCAUUCCCCACCAUACAAACCUGGCUUAACUGAUGUUUGCUGGAUGUCCAAUAUCGUAACUGUAUGGAAAUAAAGAAGUUUUGGCUGUGAA
rnacentral:lncRNA from 1 species